rnacentral:lncRNA from 1 species
CAUGGCAGGGGGGGGAAAGGUGAGCUUUAAGGUGCCUUCCAACUCAAACCACUGAGUCUAGAAAGGGCUCAGCCCUCAGGCAAAAGUAUAUUUGUUAAAGAUUUUCUUAUGAAAAUCUUCCAGCCCUCAACAGGAGCAGCAUUUUUCCCAAGCCCAUUCUGCAAAUAGCAAAAUAAGACAACAUGCAGCAAACUGCUUUCCUGGACUAAACUCCAGGACUGACAAAGAGUUGUGAUGCAACAUCAAGAGUUAACAACAGGCUUUUCAAGGGAGCCUUUGAUCAUUUAAAGCCUCGACUGUCAUUACACUUCUCCUGGGACACUGAUCUUUCCACUACUUCUUGCUGGGUGAACUCUGACCGCUAAGAGACUUAAGGGACUAAAACAUGUCCUUUUGCUUGCUGUGAGUCCUCAAUUCCUUCUGAACCUUCAGCAGGCACUUCAGCCUCAUCUCAAAACACAACGUGAG